rfam:Nicotiana attenuata strain TT chromosome 11, whole genome shotgun sequence.
UUACUUACCCGGACAGGGUCCAUAGGUGAUCAUGAAGGCCUAUGACCUAGGUUGGUGACCUUCUUUCCUUUGGAAGGGCGCUCGCCUGAAGUGGGUCCAAGUGAUCGAACCUAAGUCAUAAUUUGUGGCAAAAAAUACAUGACAUGGUUCGAGUC